GAUGAACGCUAGCUACAGGCUUAACACAUGCAAGUCGCGGGGCAGCAUGUGGGUUGCUUGCAAUCCCCGAUGGCGACCGGCGCACGGUUUAGUAACGCGUAUCCAACCUUCCCUUCACCACGGGAUAACCCGGCGAAAGUCCGUCUAAUACCUUAUGUUGUCCAUUUACGUCUUCCGCUCUGGGCGUAAUGCUUGGCGGAUGAUGAAGGGUAUGCGUUCGAUUAGCUGGACGGCGGGGUGCCUGCCCACCCUGGCCACGAUCGGUAGAGCUUGCGAUGGGACAGUCCACCACAAUGAAACUGAGACACGGUAAGGACUACUAAGGGAGGCAGCAGUGAGGAAUAUUGGUCAAUGGGCGUAAGCCUGAACCAGCCAAGUAGCGCGCAGGAUGACGGCCAUAUGGGUUGUAAACUGCUUUGAUGCGGGGAUAAAGUGGCAUUCGUGUGGGUUUUUGCAGGUACCGUAUGAAUAAGGACCGGCUAAUUCCGUG
rnacentral:rRNA from 1 species